rnacentral:rRNA from 1 species
GGCAACGAUCAGUAGCCGGCUUGAGAGAGUUGGACGGCCACAUUGGGACUGAGACACGGCCCAAACUCCUACGGGAGGCAGCAGUGGGGAAUAUUGCACAAUGGGGGAAACCCUGAUGCAGCGACGCCGCGUGAGCGAUGAAGUAUUUCGGUAUGUAAAGCUCUAUCAGCAGGGAAGAAAUUGACGGUACCUGACUAAGAAGCACCGGCUAAAUAC